AUAUUUUACCGUAGCUCAAAGGGUAAAUGUUUUUUGUUUUGUUUUAUCAUUUUGUUUCUGUUUGUGUCACACAAUCAAUCUCAAUUUGUUUAGUUUAUUGACUGUUAAUUUAAUUAACUCAUUGUUUCCUUGUUCAGAUAGCCGAGAUUCGUGAGAAAAAUUUCUCAAUUCAGGCUCGGGGUGUCAAGGUUUUACCAGAAUCCAUUGCUUUAUGGAUCAAUUCAACUCAAGAAAGAUUUGAAAAUGGUGAAACUGGAUUUAGCUGUUGUCACAUUUUUAUAUUGACACAAUCUUCCUUUCUCUUUUCUGUACUUGAAAAUAGCGGUAUUUUGAUGAUGUUUGUCGCAAAUUUCAAAAAGAGCUAACCAAGCAAUAGUAUCCAUCAAUCAUUUGGUAUAACAAUCGAUCAACAAAUUGUGUUAAAAUUUAGCUUUUAAGUAGCACAUUAUGAACCAUAUUUGCCACCUAAAUAUUCAAUCAGUUAACAGUUGAACAAAUCAUGGAGCCAUUGUAAUAAGCAUAUUGAAAGCGUUUCUAAUAAUAAACUGAGCUGAACAAUCCCAGGCAAUGUUAACCCAGAAAAUCGUAACUGCAAUCCAAAUUUAUGUGAAAACAAGUGAAAUCAAUCAAUACACAUUUCCAGUUAAUGAUGCAUUCGUUUUGUUCUUUUUUCUAUUUAAUUACAGUUAAUUAAUUAGCAUACAUGGUAACGUGAGCUUUGGCAUUAAUAAAAUGAAUUAUGAGCCUGAAGAGUUAUAAUUUCAACACAUUUGGAUUCGUAUUUGUUCAAAUCAUUAGUUUAAUGGAAAGCAAAAUUAUCACCAAUUCUGCGAUUUACAGUUAACUGCUAUUAAAACAAAAGCCUAAUUUAUAAUCAAUUAUAUAAUUGUCUUUGAAUAAAAAAACUCAAUUUAAUCAAUAAUAAAGCAACUUAAGGUUAAAAGUUGAAAAUUUAUUUAUAAUUAAUGAAAAUUGAAAAUGGCGCUUUCAAAUUUGAUCCCGGUUCGAGUCCCAUUAUGUCACUUGCCCAACCCUUAAACUAAACUUGAAUUUACAUGUUUUAUAAUCAUGAGUUGAAAAGUUGUUUAAAUAAAUAAUAUUUUCAUCAACUAGUUAAUCAAAAGUGAUUAUGGACAAACCCUGAUGAUCCCUUGAUUCAAAAUAACCUUAAGGCCCUUUGAAGAGGCUAAAAAUUACCCCAAAUACAGUGAUUUAAGUAACAAGAACAUCUUUUUCUGCUUUCUCUUUUUUCUUCGUUUUUUUUCCUCUUCACUCUCAAAAGUCGGUUUACUUUGCUAUUAUUUUACUCACAACUUUUCACCCUAACCUUAUUUUUAUGCUUAGAUUCAUGAAUUCAUUUAGGAAACAAAUUAUAAAGUGUUGAUCCAGACAAAGCGACAAAAUUUCUCAUUAACUCUUAUUACCGUGAAUGGCAAUGAAAUAAAUGGAAGAGAAACAAUCAACUCAUUUUUAAUCAUAAACAAAAGCCUUGUCCCUCAUGGUCGACAAAAUUUACCCCAAAGGAGGAAGACCAUGGGAUGAAGAGGAUAAUGAUGAUGUUAUACAAAGCAAAUUAUCUGGGAAAAGGAUGGAUGUGAAUUAAAGGAGAAUCCAUUUUUCUGUUCACUUUACUCUUGACAUUACAUCUUGAAAGUCUCAUCAUCAGUAUUAUCAUCUCAGCACGUGUAACAUGAUGUUUUACCAAAAGGAUGAGGAGGCGGAUAAAGGAGGAGGGCAAGACGUUAACACGUGAAACAUGUGAAAGUGUAAACAUGAAUGGAGACAAUGGUUAACACGCCCUUUCCGUCUUUUAUUUCUUAAUAAUCGUAAUAAUUAUGAUUAUGAUUAAAAAUGAUUAAGUAAAUUUCCGGUUAGACAGCAGUUGAAGUAAAGUGUUGGCUGGAAAUGGGAAAAUCUUGAUGAGAAAUAUUCUUGUGGUCAAUGGCGUUGGAUGAGAAACAAAUUGUUGGCAAAUUGAGGCAAAUUUUCACCUUUUUUCCUCUCUUGCCCUUUUCUUUCAUUUAUCUUCAUCCACAUCAUCUUCAUCUUAAUCCUCUUUCUGCUCUUCUUUUGUAUUUCUCUUAACAGAAAACAUCUUAAGACAUCCUAAGAACUUUUUUUUCUUUCUUAUUGACCAAUCUUCUUCACAUCAUCUUCCACUCAAUUUGUCCUCAUCUUUCAACAUUUCAAGACUACUUUAUCUUAAUCUUCAGCUCCUCUUAUCAUAAUUUUCAUCCCUCUUCAAGCUGAUCAAUAUCAUUAAAGAUGAGAAGUAAUCAGACGAUGAAGAUGAGGCUUAUUUUCAGCAAAGUCUUACGUUACUCUGGGAAAAGAUUUUUAAUGUUGCAGGAAAAACAAAACAUUAAACAGGUUAUCACCUUUCAACACCACAGUCGACUCUGAAUGUUUAAGGAAAACCUGGAAAGCCAUCGGUUCUAUCUGAUUGUUAUCUUUAUUAAAAAUCACAAUUUACUCACCAACUUCAUCGUCAACAUCUGAACCAGACGAAUGCCAAAUCCAACACAAAUGUCAACUUCAUCCCAAUCAUCAUCAUCAUUAUUGUUAUCAUCAUCAUCUUAAUCAUUCUUUCACUUCUACCAUCCUCCAAAUGCCUAUCUGAUUCUCAUAAAUUUCAUUCCUAAUGUUAACAUGUGUUCUGUUAUUUUUCAACUAAUCUUUUGUAUAUUUCAAAUUAACACAAAAUAUUUUUACCCAGGUAAGCUACUUAAAUAGCCAAGAUUAUGAUGAUUAUUAUUGAAUGUAUUAAAUGAUGAUUUAAUACUAUUUA